rnacentral:rRNA from 1 species
UAAGGAAUAUUGGUCAAUGGACGCAAGUCUGAACCAGCCAUGCCGCGUGAAGGAUGAAGGUCCUCUGGAUUGUAAACUUCUUUUAUCUGGGACGAAAACGGGAUUUUUAUCUCAAUUGACGGUACCAGAGGAAUAAGCACCGGCUAACUCCGUGCCAGCAGCCGCGGUAAUACGGAGGGUGCGAGCGUUAUCCGGAUUUACUGGGUUUAAAGGGUGCGUAGGUGGGCUUAUAAGUCAGUGGUGAAAUCUCCGAGCUUAACUUGGAAACUGCCGUUGAUACUAUAGGUCUUGAAUUAUCUGGAGGUAAGCGGAAUAUGUCAUGUAGCGGUGAAAUGCUUAGAUAUGACAUAGAACACCAAUUGCGAAGGCAGCUUGCUAAGCUGUAACUGACGCUGAGGCACGAAAGCGUGGGGAGCAAACA